CCUACGGGAGGCAGCAGUGGGGAAUAUUGCACAAUGGGGGAAACCCUGAUGCAGCGACGCCGCGUGAGCGAUGAAGUAUUUCGGUAUGUAAAGCUCUAUCAGCAGGGAAGAAGAUGACGGUACCUGACUAAGAAGCCCCGGCUAACUACGUGCCAGCAGCCGCGGUAAUACGUAGGGGGCAAGCGUUAUCCGGAUUUACUGGGUGUAAAGGGAGCGUAGACGGCGGUGCAAGUCUGGAGUGAAAGGCCGGGGCUCAACCCCGGAACUGCAUUUGAAACUGUGUAGCUAGAGUGCAGGAGAGGUAAGUGGAAUUCCUAGUGUAGCGGUGAAAUGCGUAGAUAUUAGGAGGAACACCAGUGGCGAAGGCGGCUUACUGG
rnacentral:rRNA from 1 species